AUGGCCCUGACUGAAGACCAGCAGUUAGUUAUAGCUGUUGGUUUCAAGCAGAGGCCUAAAGGAUUGUCUUCCUGUGGUUUGUUGGCUAUUCUGGAACCUCAGUGGAGAAUGGCUAUUUGAUUUGGAAGAAACAGUU
ensembl:snoRNA small nucleolar RNA, H/ACA box 34